GUCUCUGACAGAGCAGCGGUGUACGUGGACGUUCCUGCUGGAACUCUGUCCUUCUACAGCGUCUCCUCUGACAGACUGAUCCACCUCCACACCGUCAACACCACAUUCACUGGACCUCUCUAUCCUGGGUUCUGGUUCUGGUCUGGUUCUGGUUCUGGUUCUGGUUCUGGUUCUUCAGUGUCUCUGUGUUGAGUUCAGUCUCCAGAGUCUCCUCCUGUCAGAGAAACUGUCUCUGUUGGACAGAUAGUUGAGUCUGUACACGUCUGUCUCUGUCUCCACCAGAACACCUGAAUCACACGUUGGUGAAACUGUUCUGAACGAUUCCUUGGAAACUUCUUCCUCUCCCGGUCCUUUAACGGUGAAGCUGCCGUUAUUCCAGGAUCCACACGUUGUUCUUCCGUCUGUUUCCAGUCAGAGCUUCACGGUGAACGGCAGCGUGUUGUUUCUCUGCAGCUCAGUUCAGCUCAGAUCCUUCACUUCAUGUUCAGCUGCAGGUAGUUUGCUGCACAUGUGACCAACUGUGAUGUCAGAGAGGAAUCACCGAGCUGCAAUCAGCCCAGAUGAAGUUACAACCUGCUGUCAGAUCUGAGCACAACGUUGCUGUGCAGCCAGGGUUCAUCCUGCUCUUUAUUCUCACCACUUCCCAAUAUUUGAUAUUCACUCAUUAAAAGUGCUGCCUCAACAUUUCCUCACAAUAAUUAUCAAAUUGAUUUAUCAUGCUAGGAAACAUAUUUCAGCAUGAAACAUUUUUUUAUUCUUUAUCCAUUUAGUUUGUUCCAAUUUUCAAAAGAUCACUUAUGUAACAUUUUAGUACCAAAUCAUGAACAUCUUGAAAUCAAGUCCCAUUUAAAGGAAACUCAACCACCAUAACACUUUUAGCAAAUCAUGAAGUCCCACAUCUGUAGAAAUGAUCAGGUUUAAAAUAAUCAGAACUUCCAAAUCCCCACAUUUGUACUAAUAAUCAAAUAUGUAGCACUGGUCUGAAGGUUUUCCUGACAGAGUGGUUGAUUUAAGAACAUCCAGCCACCAGGGGGGGCUGCUGCUCUCCAUCCCGCUGAGUGCUGCUUAUCGUGGUAGAAGAAGAGAGACAACGAUGAGAAGCUGAUGAUGUGGAUGAAGCUGUUAUAUUACUUUGUGUCAUGAAUCUGAUGUUUGUGGUUCAGUGUGCGUCCAGAGAAACAGACUGAGCCGGUCUGACCCCCGGUCUGACCCCCGUCCUCCUCCUGUCAGGGUGGAGCCUGCUGCUGCUGCUGGACCACCCACCACCACCACCACCACCACGGACCACACCAGCUCUGAGCAGGAGGAGGAGGUGGAACUGUGUGUUUUUAUUUCAUUCACACGCACAACAAACUGUCUGACGACAACAGGAAGAUGACACGUGUUGGCGACUGCUGGUUUGGAGGGAACCAUCAUUCCUGGAGUCUGGACUGUUCUGGUGACGGUCGGUACCGGCUCCUUCACAAUACAAGAGGAACAUCUUCCUCCUAGUUAUGUUAUCUGAAUGUCACUGACGGUUUUCUUUGUUGUCACUUAAAUGUGAUAGUAUGCAUAUUAUCUCUGUAUAUGAUGUUCAUGCUAAUAACAUUAUUAUUUGGAUUGUGUGCUAUGGUGAAACAUACGUUUAUGGCUGUUUAUGGAUUUAUAUUAUUCUUUGGUUUGUUCCAGAACCACACACACCCACCACAUCUCUAAGUUCACUCUCUAGACUGGAUUAAAGCACUGUAAAGGAAACUGACAGCUUCCUGCCUCUUCAUUUAAGUCUUGACACGCGCUUCACGAUUAAAAUACAGAGAAAGUCA